UACGUAGGUGGCGAGCGUUGUCCGGAAUUAUUGGGCGUAAAGGGAGCGCAGGCGGGAAGGUAAGUCUAUCUUAAAAGUGCGGGGCUCAACUCCGUGAGGGGAUGGAAACUAUCUUUCUUGAGUGCAGGAGAGGAAAGCGGAAUUCCUAGUGUAGCGGUGAAAUGCGUAGAUAUUAGGAGGAACACCAGUGGCGAAGGCGGCUUUCUGGACUGUAACUGACGCUGAGGCUCGAAAGCGUGGGGAGCGAACAGG
rnacentral:rRNA from 1 species